rnacentral:rRNA from 1 species
UGGGGAAUAUUGCACAAUGGGGGAAACCCUGAUGCAGCGACGCCGCGUGAACGAAGAAGGUAUUCGUAUAGUAAAGUUCUGUCCUAUGGGAAGAUAAUGACAGUACCAUAGAAGAAAGCUCCGGCUAAAUACGUGGCAGCAGCCGCGGUAAUACGUAUGGAGCGAGCGUUGUCCGGAAUUAUUGGGCGUAAAGGGUACGCAGGCGGUUUAAUAAGUCGAAUGUUAAAGAUCGGGGCUCAACCCCGCAAAGCAUUGGAAACUGAUAAACUUGAGUAGUGGAGAGGAAAGUGGAAUUCCUAGUGUAGUGGUGAAAUACGUAGAUAUUAGGAGGAAUACCAGUAGCGAAGGCGACUUUCUGGACACAAACUGACGCUGGGGUACGAAAGAGUGGGGGGCAAACAAG